CAAUAUUCUCCAGAAUAUUUUUUACAAUUUCUCCAAGAGAAAGAAAUGCCUAUUUUAUGGAAGAAUUACUAAUUUGAUAAAUUUCUAUAGAUUCCUUUGUAAUGAGAAAUGGUUCCAAGAUGGCCAUUUGUUUGUGGGAGUUACGAGUAGUUAAUUGUCAUACAUUAAGAUUUUGUUACAUUUCUCACUGAAUUGCUUUGUAUGAUUGUAACCUUUUGAAAAAAGCCAAGCAAGUUAUUUUAUUUAUAUCUUCUAAUUUGUGUUAUUCUUGUAAACAAUAUGAUUUACUGUAUAUAAUUUCAGCAAUGUCAUGCUCCAGGCAUUACUUCUGCUUUUCUAAAGCCAUUGAUGUAUUUAUUUUACCAUAAAUUCAUUUUAUAAAUAAAUAAUUGACUGGGGGAGAAAGGAAAAUAUUUAUUUACACUCCUUUCUCUAUAGGAGCAAAACCUCAGGUUUAUACAGAGGUAAAUUAACAUGAGUUUGUGUAACUUCAUGCAAUUCCCAAGAAUAUUUAGGAAAAUAAAGAAUCAAUGAAAUCUCAGUUGCAAACUUAUUUUAUUGAUAACUUUCUUGUGCACCAUUUCAAAAUAGUCAUAUACUAAACUAGCAGUAUCGCUUGGGUUUGUUUUGACCCUUUAGAAUUGGAAUUUUUGAAAAGUAAAAAUUUUGCAUUAUGUAGCUUGUUAUUCUCUUUAAGUGAACAUUUUUCUGGUUGAAAUACACCAUAAAAUGGCGACACAGCAGUUAAAAAUUUGUAAAAAAUAGGGAUUUUCAUAGAAAAAAAGCACCUUUUUGAUGUAAAUAAUUUUUGGUGUUAACAUGGUCUGAUUUGAAUUAUUUCUCCUACAGAAGGAAGAGCAAGCCUUCUUCUAUCAUACUCUCAAUUUUAGUCAACUUGUGCCGCAGGGUCUUGGAGGAGAUAGUGUUAGUUGAAGGCUACCAAUCCUGCCAUACACAGACAACUUCAGCUUUACAUAUAUAUAUAUAUAUAUAUUUUGUGGCAAAUAUUCUACAUUUGAAAGUUUUCCAUUGUUUUUUUUCUUUUUCAUUCUGUUUCAGUUGUCAGUUUCAACAUACUGUUAUAUAUAUAUAUAUAUAUAUAUAUAUAUAUAUAUAUAUAUAUCACAUCACACACACACACACACUGUUAUGCUGUACAAAUAUAUGCUGACAUAGUUUUUUAUUUGUUUAAUCCAUCUACCAAAUUUCCCCACAUGACAUUGUGAGGAAAUUUGGUAGAAAAAAAAGAAACUGAAAGAAACACUGUGCAUGCAUGUGUGUAUGUGUGUGUAUGUAAUUUUUGUAUAUGUUUAUUGGCUGUUGCUGACUUACAGCCACAACCGGUAACAUUUGUUGACAUUUCUUAUCAGCAAAUCAUCCACUAAGUUCUUUUGAAUUUCUCUGGAAUAAAAUCUUCCUUACCUGUAAAACAGAUACAGAUUGAUGACAAGAGCUUCUGGCCAUAGAAAUCCUAUCCUUCCUGAAAUGCUACCCCUUCCCAUAGUGUUGGAAUAUAAAUGAAUGAUAAAAUUACAUUAAAUUUUAUAUAGUGUCAUAUAUAGGAUAGCUUUCACAAAUGAUAGUCAUUGCAAGAGAGAACAAAAGUUUGUUCAUGUUUAUACUCUGAAAGGUUUUAAUCCUGCAAUGACUGUGUUUUACAUUAAAUAAUUUAAUUGAUAGAAAAGUGUGUGUUGGUGCUGAACAGACAGGAUUUUGGACAUUUAGUUUAAAAAUUAUGGGUUUGUAACUCCUCUCAGGUGUAGUACUGUACAGUGUAUGGGCUAAGUACUGAACAUUUCCUGCAUUAUUAUUUAUUGUUUGUUUGUGUGUGAGAGAGAGACUAAUCAGUAACUGGUAAUUUUGUAGCUUACAAUGCUGGCACUCCAAUCCUUUCACACAAAAGAGAAAGGUAACAAACAAAAUUAGUUUACAUCUGAAAUUUGUGUGAACUGUAAAGCUACAAGAUGAGAAUACUCUGCAAAAUAUUUAGUAAAACAUUCCAUAAUUUUGUAAGCAAAAUUAACCAAGCAGGUUAGCUGCAAGCAUCGACAAGCACAUGGGCUCACAUGCAUGCACACACGCAUGUGCGCGCACACACACACACAUGAAUAGAUAUAUGCAUACACCUUAUCAAUGCCAGUUUAUUGUGUGUAUAUUAUUGUGUAUAUAUUUUUUACUGUGUGUAUAUUUUUUAGAUCUUUAAACAAUCUUAAAAGGAGACAGGCCUCAAAGACUUUCAAUUUGAGUUUAUAUUUGUUCUAAACAUCUCUGUGUAACAUUUAAUUCCAAAUCCCAAAACAAACAAACCAACCAUAUUUCCACUUUAUUUUUUAUUUUCAUUUAAAAUUUUUUCCUCUGCUCAUUAGCAUUUUUGAAUAUAUUUUCUUUAAUUAUUAUUAUUAUUAUUAUGAAAUAUAAGUUUGAUUUUGUUCCAAUGUACACAUCUUUUUCCUCUUUGUUCAUAUGCUAAAUAGUAAAACAUAAGGUUAUAAACAGUUGUAUUAUGUGAUAACAAACCAGGUUGUUUGUUCAAGUAAGCUAAUCAUAGAAUUAGUUUCUGUAUUCUACAUACUUGCACUUUAUAAUUCUCAAAGCCUCCUUUCACUUAUGUUUUUAUUAUAAUUAAUUUUCUCCAUUGGAAGUAGGUGUGUCAAGUGACUAUCAGAUUAAGGUACUUCAUGACUGCAGUAAAAUCUUUUGAUUUAAACUUAACUGUAGUUAUCUUUUUACAAGUUUCAGUCUUUUGACUGUGGCCUUGCUGGGGCACCACUUGAAGAGUUUAGUUGGACAAAUUGAUUUCAAUACUUAUUCUAUUUCAAAGCCUGGUACUUAUUCUAUCAAUCUCUGUUGCUAAACUGGUAUGUUAUGGGGACAUAAACAAACCAAUACUGGAUGUCAAAUAGUGGUGAGACAUGUGCGUGUGUACACGCAUGUGUGUGCGUAUGUCUUCUUUCAGUUUCCAUCUACCAAAUCCAUCCACAAGGCUAUGGUUGGCCCAGGGCUAUAGUUGAAGACACUUGCCCUAGGUGUUGCACAGUGAAAGUCCACAUGACUGAGAAGUAAACAUCUUACUGCCUGUGCUUGUAUAGUUAUUAUAUUUGGACUUUUGUCAGCUGAAAAAUUAGUAUGAAUUUCAUAUAAAAACUUAAAAGCAUCCAGCUACCACCAAAGUCUUGCUUUAAUAAGUUUCUUUGAAACAGAAUAUCCAAAUUCACUUUCAUUUUAAACCCUUUCAUUUUAACUUAAAUUCUAUCAUUUUUAUAGUUUUGCUAGAAAAAGCUUAGUUAUUAGAUACCAUUCUGUAACAAUAGAUUGAUUGUAACUUAAAAGCUGUACUUAAAUAUGUUUUUAAUUUGGUUAUAGUUAACUUCACUAUUUUCUACCCCUGACGUAUGCUUUGAAAUAAUAAAUAAUGAUAAAAUAAACAAAGAUCACAUAUUAAAUUACCCCAGUAAUUUUUGUUGAUAAUGUCUAGUCAUUGGAAAUAUGUUUUUAUGGCUUUAAAAUAUCAGCAUUUGAGCUGUUCCACAUUGUGAAUAGGAAUUAGAAUUAAGUAUCUCUGUGGUUGUUAGAAUUAAGAAUCAGUUGGAAAAUCCUACAUAAAAAUAACUGAGUUGUUUUUUAACAAUAGGUAGUAAGUUGAUGAAAAUAUAUUACCAGCUGAUGAGGAACUUGUUUAGUUUCCACUGCUCAUCAUUCAAGUUUUGCUGGUGUUGGUGUAAGUUUCAAUGUAAAUAUUAACCUCUUUCUUAUUGCUGUUUCUAAAUAAGGGUGUAUCAUUUUGCUUGUCAACAUUUUCAUCACAACUAAGAGAUGAAAAGUUGAAGUUAAAAAAAAAAAAAAGAAGGCUACUUAUGAGAGAGAGAGAGAGAGAGAGAGAGAGAGAGAGAGAGAGAGUCUGCAAUUAAGUAAAUUACUUGAAUUGAAAACACAUCUAUUGAAAGUAACAGCUCCACUGAGCUUAGGAAGUAGAAUUAGGUAGAUUAAUAGAACACCACCACCACUGUAGUCAGUGAAAUUCUACCUAGUAACAUAUGUAUAUGUUUCUCUAUCUUCACUGUUUACAAGAGUUUAACAGCCUCUGCUUGCCAGCAUUGGCAUCUAAACAGCAUUCUAGUUGGUAUUUUGAUAAUAUUCUACACUGAAUAAUAUAAAAGAUAUUCUGUUUUUUUUUCUCCACACACAAUUCACUACUUUAUUGUAUAAAAUUGGCUAACUAAUAGAUGCUUAUUUUUCUUCUUAAUCUAGUUUCUUUAAAUGUAAAAAUUGUAAAACCUAACAAAAUUGAAAAAAGAAAGAACCUUUUUUUAAAACUGUUUCUUUCUGUAGCCGUUUGUUAAUGAAGAUUGUGUGAAGCACAUAUUUCAUUACUUUUUCUCUCUUUCUUCUCCUCUCACCCUCUUCAUCUAUAUCCCUCUCUCACUCUCCUUCCCUCUCACACACACACACACACACACACACACACUCUAUAAGCAGAAGUAAACUUUUUGAAGUAUUUUAGUUUGUUUUUAUAUUUUGUAAAUUUAAAUCUGAAUAGAUAAUUUCUUGUAUAUUAAAAGUUUCAACAUCUUUAAUGUUGAUGUCCAGUAAUGAUAUUUUUAAUAUUGCAUGUUUUGUCAUUGAGCUUUGUUCUUGUUAUCGCUGCUAUGGUAGGUGUUGUAAUACUGCAGAAAGUUAUUAGGAAGUGAAAUCUGAGGCUUGUCUUGAAUUCCUGUUUGGAUCCACUCUUGUCUGAAUGCGACAAUUUUGUACCUCUGUUUCCCCAAAAUCUGAAUUCAUAUCAAUGUCACCAUUCCUGAGUGCUGUCAAAUUCUAUACCAGAGAUUUAGCUUUUGGGAUUUUUAUGCACCAGAUUCCUUGCAAUACUAAUUCCUUCCAGGCUUGCUUGCUUAUGACUGAAUUUAGGUUUUGUAGGGUAAAAACAAGAUAAUUUUCUCUGAACAAUAAACAGAUACCAUAUUGUCUUUGACAACUAUUUAUGUUUAUAAAAUAGUUCUUUUUAUUUUGGUAUCAGUAUAUCUCAAUGCAAUUCCUGUUUAAUUUAAAAUAGUUUCUCAUGAAUGUAAAAAAGAUAAUGCUAAAUGUAAUAAAAACCUUUAUCUGUUGCAGACUUCUUCAAUUGGAUUUAAGGAUGUGAGUGGAGAGUUAGAUUUUCUGUGCAUGAUCAAGAUUUUAUUCUAAAGAUCUACUAAUGCAUAUGCUAUUGACUCUCUGUUUAACGAAUCAAUUAAGUAACUUCUGUUCAUAGCUCCAAAGCACUGAGCUAUAAUUAUGUGUUGGCUAACAAACGUUAACACAGUGUUGUGUUUUCUCAAACAAUUCUACAUGUUCUUGGAAUUGCAAAUAACUAGUUUUAGACAAUAUCUAACAGACAACUGCAUGUUUCAUUUAUAUAACAUUGAAUUCUGUUAGUCAGAAUGGUACCUAAGUAGUCUAACUAAAGGUCUACAACCAAUUGUCUCUUAAGAAUCAUUGAUAUUGAGUGAUAAAGUUAUCUUUGUUGUGGGUAUGUAUAUAUUGUUCUUUACAUAGUUAAUGGUGUGUGUGUGAAUUGAUUUAAAAUAAACUGUAUUUUGAUAUCCCAGCUGCCUUUCUGUCCUCUUUGAACUAUAUAAAAAGCAAUAGGGAUUAAGAUUAUUUAUGCGAGUGUCUCUAAACUCAUCAAGAACAAGGACUGUAUAUAUGAAUAUUUAGUAGGUGUUUGUGAUUUUAAGAUAUAUUUUGUUUUUAAAGACUCCUCUCAGUUUUUGAGUCUAGUAACAGAACUGACAGUAGAGCUUAUAUUCUGACCAAACCUACACAACUCUUCAUUAGCGCCAUCAGCUAUGAAACAUGGCAAUUUCACAGCGAUGUUGGUAUGGCUGUGUAUUUAAUAUCAUUUAGUUUCAGUUCCACUGUGCAACACUUUGGACAAGUGUCUUCCAGUAUAGUGCUAGCUGACCAAUGUCAUGAGAGUAAAUUUGGUAUGUGGAAACUGAAAGAAGCUCAUCAUAUAUGUGUGUAUGACCUUGUAUUCCCUUUGUCUUGUUAUUUUGUGGUAGUUGUAAAAGAGUAAUACAAGUUGUAGCAUUCAUUUCCAAUCUAUGUAAACAUAUCCAGCCAUGGUGAAAUAUUACCUUGUUUGGAAAGAGGUGAGGGUUGGCAACAUGAAGAUGAUCCAGCCAUAGAAAAUCUGCUUCAAUAAAUUCUGUCUGACCCAUGCAUGUAUGGAAAUGUGGUCAGGAAAAUGAUGUUGAUGCUUACAACUCAAUCAAUUUUCCUUGUGGUUCCUUAAUUAUAGCAAGAUAGCCGGGCUUUUGAAAAUGACACAACAACCCAGUCCUGUAACAUGGUAUAACUAGAGAGAUCCCCACCCCAUCCAUUUGUUUGAUCUUCUGUCCACUUGGUUACCUGUUGCCACUGUUAAUUUAAACUGAUAUAUUUUACUACUUAUCAUUAUCAUCAAUUUAGAAUUGCGACAAAUGGCAGAGCAUCAGACUAAUUCCUUAUUUUUUACUCUUUUACUUGUUUCAGUCAUUUGACUGCAGCCAUACUGGAGCACCACCUUUAGCCAAACAAAUCGACCCCAGGACUUAUUCUUUGUAAGACAAGUACUUAUUCUAUCAGUCUCUUUUGCUGAACCACUAAGUUCUGGGUUCGUAAACACACCAACAUCAGUUAAGUGAUGGUCGGGGGACAAACACAGACACAAAUAUAUAUAUAUAUAUAUAUAUAUACAUGAUAGGCUUCUUUCAGUUUCUGUUUACCAAAUCCACUCACAAGGCUUUGGUCAGCCUGAGGCUAUAAUAUAAGACACCCAAGGUGCCAUGCAGUGGGACUGAAUCCAGAACCAUGUGGUUGGGAAACUUACCACACUUGCGCCUAAUAUCUAAUUUGUCUCACUGUACUUAGAAUUUAGACCUUUCUUGAAUCUAUUUUGCCUGUGGUCAAUAAUAAUAAUAAUACUGCAUUAAUUUGUCAGAGUAAAUUAUUUAACAUGUUGACAAAUAAAAUUUAAAAAAGACCCCAAAAUGUUACAAUAAAAUAUUUCCUACAUUUAUUUUGUUCUCUCUGUUUACUUUAGGAUGUGAAGCUAUGAAUUUAUUUUUAUACAUCGGAUUAAUUAAAAAUAUUUACUUCUGUUGUCAGGCAUCUUUCCAUUAAUAUUAUUACAUGCGUGUGUGUUUUAUAUUUGAAAGAUUGAUACCAUUAAAUUGAAUAUUGUUUUAGUUUCCAGUUGAUUAGCCUGUUUUAUUUUGUUGUCAUAGAAACCUAACAAUACUUUUUAUUUUGCCAAGUCAAAUAUUUUCUAUCUGUUUGUCUUUUCUUUCUUCAUGGAGUAUAUAGUAGUUUAUCUUAUAUGAUUUUUGGUACUUUUACUACGUCAUCAUCAUUUAGCAUCCAUUGACCAUGCUGGCAUGGGUUGGAUGGUUUGACCAUGGCUGUAAGGGGCUGCACCAGACUCUUGUCUGAUUUAGCAUGGUUUCUAUGGCUUGAUGCCCUUCCUAAUGCCAACUACUCCGAGACUAAUAGAUAUAGCAUAUCUCUAAUCUAAACAUCAAGUUGUUCAGUUGUUUUGAAUGCAGCUAGAUAUGAGGACCUUAAAAAUACAACUAUAAAAUAUCACUGAAGAUGAAAUAGGGAUUAUGUUUUGUUUCACUAGCAGAAGAUUUAAUACAACGAUUUGGUAUUUCUAAAGCAUGCAGUUGAAGCAUUACUAAAAUGAAAUGAAUGGCAGAAUCCCUCAAAUUAGAACAUUUUAUAUUGGUCAUAACUUUUGCAUUAUUAAUAUAAACUCUCUCUUUAUUUUUAUUACUUUUCUUCAUCCUUCUCAGAAUUUCAACUUGUCUCCUUAAAUUUUAUGCUUCUGAAUUCUUCAAAAGCCUAACUUUUCAUGUGUAGCUCAUUAAAGAUGACACCAAAAUAAGAAAGUCAUUAAACUUUUGUUCUUCACUCCAUCUGUAACUUAGGAAAUUAAGUGUUGUUAUCCACAACCAAUACAAUGAUUAUAAAAAUUGCAUUAAUAUAUAUAUAUAUAUAUAUAUAUAUAUAUAUAUAUAUAUAUCCAGGCCUGGGUAGCCACAAUAAGACACACCAGGCAUUCCAUUCAUUUCCCAGCUCAAAGGGGUGAGUCCCGUUCUAUGCUCAGGUCAAAGCAUAGAACGCAACCCCCAAUAUCAGCAGUGGGGCCUGACAGCAUAUGCUGGUUUACCCAUGCCACAUCAUGCUAGUUCCAUACCCCUUUGAGCAACAUCUAAGUUCACUCAUCUGUCCACAAACACUGUCCAAGCUUUCCUAUCAUUUAUAAACUCUCUUGCCUCUCUCACUCCAACAUCUCUAACCACUAAAGCUUUCCUCACUCCAUCCAUCCACACAAACCAAGGUCUACCUCUGGUUCUGCUGCCUACCACUUCAGCUUUCAUCACCUUUCUUACCAUCCACUCUUCAUCCAUCCUCUUGCUCAGUGCCAGCACAUCCAUCCUUCUUUUCACCAUCACACUCUCUAUCUCUCUCCUCUUUACUUCACUUGUACUACACCCACAUACAUUCUAUGACCCUAGUACUAAAGUGAGAUUUGGUGCUAACCUUCUCCCACCCCCUUGUCUUUUUCUUGUCUUUUUAGGAAUAUGGAUUUAUUAGGAGAGGAUUCCCAGUCCCCUCACUCCUGUCCUUUUUAGUUGCCUCUUAUGCCACACAGGGUAUAUGGCGACUUCAUUCUACUGCCCCCCCCCACACAGUUAGGUUUGCUAGUUAACUCAUAGCUGGGACCCUUACAGAUGCUACCAGUCCAGGCCAGAGUAGACCAGGGAACAAUAGUGGCUAAGAGGUGGUUCCACACUCGUCAAACCGUGAAACCAGGGCCCCAUGACCAGAUGUAGCUUAUAGUCAUACCCAGGACAAUAUAUUCUAGGAAAUAUACUCAGAGAUGCCAUCUGCAUGAAUAACAACUGUUAAUGUUAUACACUUAGUGCUGUGUUUUAAUUAAAUUAUAUAAUUAUCUUUAGUUAGCAUUAACUAUGUUAGCACUAACUUAAAUAUUGGUCUGCAUGGGAAUAGCAUCUCUUAGGGAUAUAUUCUCUAACAAAAUUCUUGUUUUCUUUUACACCAACUCCUACACGUUAUUGUGCAGUUAUUUAGGGAUUUGUUGAUUUUUCUGAUCACUACUUAUGUACCAUGAAGUUUAUACUUUGGUGAUGAGGUGAUAAGAUUGAAACAGUUACUAAGUUGUCUCCUGUACUAACUGAAAUACUCUAUCAGUCAUUAGUUAAUAUUUGUGUUUCUUCAUUGCAUAAUUAUCUCUAAUCAACUUUUUAAUGUUCCCUACAUCAAAUAUGUCAACACCAAGAUAAACACUGAAUCCUGUAUGAUUGUCUGAGUAAUUUGUUAAAAAUUUCUGUAUUCAACUAGGUUAACACAGGUCAGUAAUGUCUUGCUAUGGGGUAAAUGAAACAAAAAAAAAAAAAAAAAGUUAUACACAUCAUCAGUGUUGCAAUAUUGGUGUACUUAAAGACAAGGAGUAACAGCCAAUCAUUUUCUUUGCUCUAUAACUAAACUAUCAUCUAUUUGAUAGCCCAUUCAAAAGUACCUUGGAUUGUAGGGUGACAUGCUGUGCUUGAGGAGACCUGAGUCAAGUACAUCAACAUCAAAAUAAAAAUCAAAUGGGAAUUGUAGUUGUGAUCCCCGUGCCAGUGGCAUGUAAAAAGCACCAUCCAAACAUGGCUGAUGCCAGCGCUGCCUUGUCUGGCUUCCAUGCCGGAGGCACAUAAAAAGCACCAACCGAUCGUGGCUGUUGCCAACCUCCUCUGGCCCUUGUGCUGGUGGCACGUAAAAAGCAUCCACUACACUCAUGGAGUUGGCGCUAGGAAGGGCAUCAACUGUAGAAACAUUGCCAGAUCAGACUGGAGGCUGGUGCAGCCUCCCGGCUUCCCAGACACCAGUCGAACCAUCCAAUCCAUGCUAGCAUGGAAAACGGACGUUAAAUGAUGAUGAUGAUGGAUAGAUAGAUGUUCUGCUGCCUUUUGAUUGUAGGUGCACUGUCUUUUAUGUUACUCUAGUGUAUGUAGUUAAUAAAUUUUUUGAGCUUUUGUGAGAGAACUUCAAUCAUUUCAUUGUUCCAUCACACUAUACCAAUGAUGAUGCUUAUGAUUAAGAAUCUGUAGUGAGGGUUAAAUAAAAAUAGUCAUAUUUGUGUAAAAAUUUCCUUUAUUUUUUCUUUACCAUGUGAUGCUAUGUUAAUUUGUUAUUAGCAUGUGGAGAAAGUGGAAAAGUAGAUUGGUACUUGAAGUACUUUAAUUUAGUUUACCCCCACCAACCUUUCCUUUGAGUUCAGUUUCUGUUCACUGUCUGUCCUCUCACUCAUCAUAUAGGUACCAUCAACAUACUGGCUAAUUUAAUCAGCAACAAUUCAUCAAAAAUUUUCUUAAGGGCUUUUUUGAAAAAAAAAAAUGUUAGUUUCAGCCAUUUUGAAAAACUAUAUGAAUGACUCAAAUCAUAAAGAUUAGAUGUUUUAUAAUCUAUUGAUCAGUUCUUUAUCUUCAAAGAAUCCAGGUUUCAUACUUUUUUUUCCCAUUGAAGGUCAUUAUAUUGAAAACUUUAUCAAUUAAAAUUUUCUCUCAUAACCCUUUUUAAUACCAACCUUCUCAAGACUAUCUCAGGUUCUGAUAUAAAUUUCCUGUUUUAAUGUGAUCUAAAUCGAAACCUUCCAUCAAAAUUUCAUGUUAAAUUAAUUUACUAAAUUCCAGCUUAACUUAUGUUAAUGAAUUCGUUAUUAUUUUCAAAAUUAAUAGAAACAAAGGCAGAAUGUUUCAAUACAAAUAUUGUAACAAAAGAAUUAAAGAAUAGAAGAAAAAUGUAUUUGAAGGGAUAAAUAUUAUCCAUCUUGUGUAUGUAUUUGUUUGUCUAUGAAUGAGGACACUACUACAUGUGUGUGUGUGUGUGUGUGUAAAUGAAUGAAAUUAUAUAAAGAGUACAGCGCUUUCUUAAAUGCAAAGUUUCUCAAUGAUUUCAUUUUAGUGAAACCUAAUUGGUUUUUAUUGAUUUGUCAAAGUUUCAUCUAUUCAGUGCUAUCAGUUAUGCUUAAAUUUGUGUUUUUUUUUAUUGGUUUAUUUCACAAAAAUAGAUUUCUUGUAUUUUAUAAGUAAAUCACUUUCUAUAGUAUUUUAAAUUAGAUAUUUUAGAGAUUUACAAUACACUUAACAUUUGAAAAUGUUUCCUGUUAGCUAUAUAGCUUAACUUGAAAAUAGAAAAGAAAUGUUAUUAUUUUAACUUUUUCUAAAUAUAAUUUUUCUUCCUUUGGCAUAUAGGUUUGAUCAUGAUUUUUGCAUGCUCAUACAUACUGCAACCCAACCAUUUUUCUAUGCCAGCAUGGCUGGAAAUUUAUGCAAAUUGGAGUUGCUGAAGUGUUUUAUUAAGUCUUUUUUAAUUGCUUGUUGAAAGUUUCUUUUAAAAUUGUAACUCAUUAUAUUUUAAUUAGCCUCGCCUGGCCCCCGUGCUGGUGGCACGUAAAAAGCACCAUCCGGCCGUGGCCGUUUGCUAGCCCCGUCUGGCAACUGUGCUGGUGGCACGUAAAAAGCACCCACUACACUCACGGAGUGGUUGGCGUUAGGAAGGGCAUCCAGCCGUAGAAACACUGCCAAAUCAGACUGGGCCUGGUGCAGCCUUCUGGCUUCCCAGACCCCAGUUGAACUGUCCAACCCAUGCUAUCAUGGAAAGCAGACGCUAAAUGAUGAUGAUGAUGAUGAUGAGUCAUUUACAUAAAUAACUUAGUUCUGGAUGUGCACCACUACAUCAACUAUAAGUAUUUGAUGGUAGAAAGGAAACUCUCUCUUAGCUGUUCCUUAGUUGGUAAAUGGUACUUACAUUUCUUGUAAUAAUAAAAAUUUUAAUAUGUCUUAAAUGUUAGAUUUCAGUUUUAGAAUUAUCAUUUUGUGUUUUUUUUUUUGCAUCUCUCUUCAUCUUCUGUGAUGUAAACUUGCUAGAAAUAACAGCCAAGUCUCUUCACAUCACACCUGUUCAUUAUUUAAUGUAGUUGUACAUAAGGUGUGAUGGCAAUAACUGGAGUGUCUUGAAUCAUAAGUCUAUUCUGAUACCAAAUAUUACACUACAAAUUCACUUGAUAACAAAUCUACUGAAUAUUUCAUCCACAAAUAUCUUCAUUUGUUUUUGUUUUGUUUUUCAAUCAACUAAAAAUAUGUCAUUGUGCAUAGAGUGCAGCUUUUGCAUACCUUUUUAACUUUAUUCAACCAUUCAGCUAUGGCUUUCCUGGUCACAAAUAUAAAACAAUAGUCAAGAAUUUAAAUAAGCCUGCUUGCAAACCUAUUUACACAUGAAAUGGUUAAUUAUAAAUAUGGGAGACCAACUGAAUGAUAGAGAAACUUCUUAUUUUGGAGAUGCACUUGACUGGCAAAUGAUUUGAUCUGAAACUGUUGGAACUAAAACAAUUACAGAAGAUACAUAUUAGCCAUUGCAAAACACAAAAACUGUUAACUUCAUGUAAACAUUUAUUAUUUGGUGUAAUAAACUUUUUAUAUUGUAUGGGGGCAAUAGCAGCACAAAACCAUAACUAUCUUCAUUCACAGAACCUGUGUAUGACAAUUACAAUAGUAGAUGUCUUUCAAACAUCACAAUACCAGCUGUUGUUGGUCUGCCUGCCUCUCUGUCAGUGUGUGUGUGUGUCUUCAAAUUUGUUCGAAUUGAUCAGCAUUUAACGAUAGUGUUUUGAGAAUGAACUACACUUGUUCAUAACUUUGGUCUGAUGGAACAUUAACCUAGAGCUAUUUCUUGCCUGUGAUUCAUAAAAUUGGAAAUGGAAACACCUGAGAUAUUUUGUAGUUACUUUUGUAUUGAUUUGUCCUCGCCCUCCCUCUCUCUCCACACUGAGGCAUACUAAACAUUUUCAUGACCAGCAAAUAAGCAAUCACCAUGUCUUUACUAUCUGAGUGUAGGAAGUUCUCCCUUGGCAUUACUCUACCCUCAUCUAAGAAGCCAAUGUUUAAAGGUAGUGUUUAGAAUCUAGUUUAAUGGAUAGCCAGCUCCUUUUAAUCUGAUCCUUUUAAUAUGUUAUUACGAGUGGACAAUAGUUCAUUCCAGUAAUUACCUAUUUGACUCUGAAAUGUAGCAAUAAAACUAAUGUAGCAGAGAAACUAUUUUCUGGUUUGUUUUUUGAUUUCUGCUAUCAUUAAUACAAUAGUUUCAAUUAUCAGUUACAUUCUAGUAGCUGGGAGGAGAAAAAGAAUGUUGUAGAAUGAUAACUUUGUUUUAUGAUAGUGAGCAUCUUGUUAGAGUUGAGAAAUCUACCUCACCUGGUGCUGUUUGGUUAUUUUGGUAUUUCAUCUUUUCUGCUUGUUGUUUACAUAAUUUAGAAUUUAUCAGUUUUAUUACCUGUAAAAUUAUUAGCUUCAAUUCAGAUUUCUCAAUAUUAUAUUGCAGAUUGAAAAUAAAUAAAUGAGUAAACCAACUAAGAAGCAAUUAAAAAGUAAAUAAAAUAAUAUGAAAAUAUUUUAAUAUUUUGCACAAACUGAAUUAAGAAAUUUAAUAACUAUACACACACAGAUAUAUAAACACACUUGUGUGUGUGUAAUAUAUAUAUAUAUAUAUAUAUAUAUAUAUAUAUAUAUAUAUGUAGAGAGAGAGAGAGGGGGGGGUCCAAGUUAUUCUUCUAUUUCUUAUAGUUUAAAAACAUUUCCCAGUCUUAUUGAUGCUGAAAAUUAUCUGCUAAUAUCAACAUUUUUUAGACAUAAGCUUUUACUACAAGAAUUGUUUUAUUUUAAAAUUCUAUGCAUUCUUUCCCCUUUCUAAUUAUGCCAUUUUAAGCCAUAUUCAUAAAUAUAGUUUUUAUCUUUUAACAUACUACUGAAAGAAAACGAAUUUAAUCUGGGCUUCUGAGAUCAUUUUUCCUUUCUGUUUUCUCAUUUUAUUGAUUUGCAAUACAAACAUAUAUCAUAUACAUAAAUUUUGCAUCAAAAUAUAUCCUUGGUUGGAAAUGAAUGAUCAAAGCAGUAGAUGAUGAUAAGCAGUUUCUGGAGGCUAGUUUAUUGGUUUUGUUUUCGGUAAACCAAAAUGAAAAUUUGUGAAUAUUUUGGCAGUUGGUUUUUUUCCUUUUUCUUUUAUCUUUUUCUCCACUGCCAUUCCAAAGCUGUGUUGUAACAUAGUAGAGCUUAUCUCAGCUUUUGACUUGUUAAGAACUUCUCACUCUGGAUAGUAUGACUUAACUAUUGAUGAUUUGUCCAUAGAAACAUUGAACGUAGCACUCUAAAAUAAUGAAACACUUGUCCAGUAUACAAAGGGCAGCAGUGUCUGCUGCUUACGUAACAAUCAUCAUCAUGGCAGUGAAUCAGCAGAAACAUUGCAGUGUUAGACAAAAUACCUUUCAGUAUUAAGUUUCAGCUCUUCAUAUUCUGUAUUGAAAUCCCGCCAAGGUUGACUUUACUUUUCCUCUUUCUGGGGGAAACAGGGAUGGGGGGAAUCACUAAAAUAUAGUAGCAGUUAAAUACUGGGGUUACUAUAACUGACUGAGCCCACUUCACCAAAAUUUCUAACCUUGUGUCUAUGUAAGAAAUAAUUGUCGUUGUCACUACUGCCUCCCUCUUUAUCCUAUGUUCUAUUGAUUCUGUUAGCUCAGUUUUCCAUAUUACCACCCAAACAUGAAGAGUUAAAUAACAAGCACGUAACAUGCUUUACGUAGGGAGCACAAUGCGAGGACUGACUCUAGCAAACUUUAACUUCUGAUUGCCUAGUUAUGGAUCUAGCACUUUCUCUUUACAGCUGGUAUGAGUUUUUAAAUUUAAGUUUUAAAAAUGUCAAAAUUAUUAUGCAUAAACAACAAGUUGAAACUAUAGAGCAGGAACAUUGAACAGACUUGAACAAAAAUCUAUUGUUUACCAAUAAAGCACAAAACUGACUUCACUACAGCAAACAUCAGUGGAUCUGUUUCUCAUUUCUGUCUCAAAUUGGUGAUUAUAAUAUCUGAUAUGUUAAAUUCUUUAAAUUUGUGAUGAUUUAUUCCUCAAAUGAUCAAUUCUGUACUGAGUGGUUUAUUUAUUCUUUUAUUAGUGCAGCCUGUGACCAAUGUUGGGGUAGGGCCAUCAAUAUUUUCCUUUUCGCAUAUUUAAUAGUUAUUUUGUUUUGUUGCCAUUUUAGGUUUAUUUCCUUUCAUGUAGUUCCACUUUACCAUUUGUCUAGAAGAGACUGUGACAUUACCUGAAAUGGCAUGCUGUGCAUGAUAUUUAUCAGUAUAAGGAUAUGAAUGCUGUGACCAGACAAUCUCUUCCAUGAUGCGACAAGAAAAUCUCUUCUGCAGUUUUACCAGUCCUAAUCUGCUUUAGAUUAAGAUAGCACCAGCAGGGUUCUGAAGUGUCUAAUCAAUAAUAAACCAUUUGGGAACAGAGUAAACUAACAAAGAAACUUCUGGAAAUAACAGCCAAAUUUCCCUCCACUUGUUCUCUUCUGUUUUAAAGAAAGAUGGUUGGAAUGCUUUUGAUCAUAGCUCAGCUCAAUCACAGCUGACCUAGGGCUAAACAACCAGCCAUUUGUAAAAUUCAGAACAAUAGUUUAGUUAAGGAGUGAGUUUGUUUUUUGUUACCUGACUUCAGUUUGUAUCUUCUUCAGAUAUAAAGUAUAGUGCCAUUUUUUUUAUUUUUAGUCUUCUAUUCCUUUACUAAGCUGUUUGAAAUUUUUAGAAUAUGGAAAGUUAUGUAGCAUAGAAUGUGGAAAGUUAUGUAACAUAGAUCCCAAAACUAUUGAUAGUGUGGAACCUUUGAAUUAUAUUCUUUUGUGUAUCAAGAACUCAAUACUCAGCUGAGAGUGAUGUGUAACCUGAAAUAUUUUCAUUAUUACAAGAGUUGCUCCCAAUAGAUUUAAAUAGUAAAUAGAUCGAUAACAUCUUUGACCUAUAAUGUCUACUAUGUUACUAUUUCAGCUAUAAAUCUUAUAGUAGAUAUUUAGAUUAAUAUAUGGACCGAGGUAUUUCAAGAUUUUGCUGUGGGUAGUACAUUAUGGAUCUCAGAUUGAGAGAGAGAAGAGAGAGAAAAGAAAUUUCUAAUCAAGGAGACUAAAAAAUCAAUUUAUAUAUCUGAAUAUUGUUAUUUGGUUUAAAUAUGUUUUAUUGGUAACUAGUUAUCUCAAAUGUUUACAUUUUUAAAAUUUAGAAAUUUUAUUUUAAAAUUGUGAUGCAAUGCAUUAUUUAUUGGUUAAGAAGUUGGCAUAAUCAGUGAACAUUAAGAGAAAAUGGAAAGUUUCCAUAUAUCUUAGUAGAAUCUGUCAAAUGCUUUAUUUUUAUAGGCCAAGUCUUUAAAAGUUCACACAGUUAUUUCUGUCAUGCUUAUGUGUUCAACUCUUUAACAUUCAGACUGUUUUGUUAAAUGUGAUGUUUAAUCAUUCACAUUGUUUUGAAUUAAUCAUGCAUUAUCUCAUAGCUUUGAGAUUUUGAUGAUUGUUUAUUAUUAGAAUGACAUUGUAGAGUAGGUGAGAGAAGAUGGAUCUGACUGGUUUGAAUAUAAAACAGGUAGAAUAUUUGAGCUUGGAUAUGGCCAGUUUAAAUGCUAAAGUAGGCCUUAAAUAUUACUAUUGAUCAUUCUGACUGAUUAAGAAACCCUUUAUAAAUUUUGCAAUAGUGUUUGUUCAUCAAAUAGGAUUAUUUAUUUUAAACUAUUUAUAUUUUGCUUUUCUAUCUUUAUCACUAAAUUAUUUGGUUGGAAAUACAAACUACCAUUUUCUUUGGUACCUCAGCAUGGUCACAGACAAGUAGUUGAAAGUAACAAAAUUCCGUUUAUUUGAUUAGCUUAGUUAAUUCUAUUCAGCACAUUCAUACACAACACCAUGAUGCUAACCAUCUUCAAGGGUUUUAGUUAAUGAUACUGACCUCUUCCCUCCCUUAGUACUUUGUUUUGUAUUUAUUUUAUUAAUCUUGGAAGGUCUCAUUGGAUUUCUUAUUAAUUCUUAAGCUAACAUAUAUGACAGUUGUGAUACAAGCUGAGACCUUUGUCUCUACUUUAUACCAUUACACCAGGGUUUGUCAGAAAAUUGACUUCCCAAUCCCAAACUUAUAAAUACUCAAAUAAAGACCUUUGAAGAAAAAAGAAAACUUUGAUGGAACACUUCUUGUCUUAAUAACUCCAUUGAUAACAACAACAUAGAUCAUAAAUUCGGUUUUAAAAUUAACAAGGGUCCAUCUUUUAAAAAAAUACUUCUAAAUGUGCACUUAAGAAUUUAAAAUUCAGGAAGUACCUCAACAAAUUCCAGAAUGACCUAUCCUAUAAUCUGGAAGUUAUAAGGAAAUACCCAAUGAAACUAAGAAUUUAUCCCCAUUUUAUCUUCAGUUUCAUUCACAAAAAUUAAAAGAAAGCCGACUGCAGUAGACUUAAUGCUGGCAAGUGUCGACCGAUCAGUCAACGACUGAUAGUUUCAGAAAAAAUCCUUUUCAAUUUUUUUCAAAAACUUGGAUUUCUGAAUUACCAUCAAGGCUCACCUCACAGAAGCAAAUUGUGUUGAUUUUACUCUUUGCCUCCUCAGUUUUCUUUGUUAUUAUGAACCUAACAAAAAAAUUGCACCCCACAUACACUCAGAACUUCUUUAACUAUUUAAGAACAUUUCGAUUUAGCACUUUGGAAAUUCAAACCAGCUAUAUCUGGCCGAAAUAUUCAGUUUUAUGUGAAAACUGGUCAGGUCUGGCCUCUUACAUCUGCCCUACUAUGUCAUUCUAAAAAAUAAACAAUCACACCAUCAAAAUUUCAAUGUUACAGGUUAAUGCAUGAUUAAUUAAAAACUAUGUAAAUAAAUAUUACAUUUGACAGUAAUUGAAAUGCUAAAGGGUUAAAUCAUAAUCAUAAAAAUAAUCUCAAAACUUCAAAUGCCUCUCACUCAAACUUCAACCAUAAUUUACCAUAUUCUAAUACCUCAUAAUGAAAGGAACUAAAUCAGUAACCACCAAUACAUCAUACUGAAUUACUUCACUGAUACCAAAACUGAUCUUUGGAAUUUGUUUGGCAAAAGAUUUAAUGUAUCACUAUAGUCAACACUUACAACAAAUGUAAAGCUUACAUGGUUAUGACUUCAAACUAGUCUAAAUCCAGGUGUUAUUCUCACAUAUAAUCUUUUAGAAAUCAAAACCUCAUUGGCUUCAUACAAUUAAGUCUCAAAAGGGGAAUUUGAUAGCCAGUAUUAGAAUACUGUUCUUUGAGCUUAAGUAUACCUGCAUAACAAUCCUUGCAAAUUUAUCACCAUACAGGACUGCCAUAUCUUUUUUGUUAAAAUCUCAUUAUCUAGUUGUCUCUUGGCAAACAUUUGAAACUGUAAUCCUAGGAAAUUCAAGAGACAAAUUUUUUUCAUGUUUGUCUUCUUUCACUACUAGCAAUAACAUAUCUCUAUUUGUGUGCAUGUUUUUGUAUUUUCAUCAUUUUAGUCAUUCUGUAUUCUGCAUUCUUAGAUCAUCUUCAUUUUUUUUCACCUCCACCAUUAUUAAUGUGUGUAAACUCAUGGACACUUUUUCCCAUAUUGGAGUUUUUUUAAAAUUGAAUCACCAUUCACCAUUCACUUUUCAUCUUUGCUUCUGGUUAAAUCAUAUGUGAAUAUGUGUGAUUCAUUAAUAUUUUACAUCUGCUUUCCAUUCCUAUAAAUUUAAAAUAUUGAAAUGAUUGGUGCCUUAGUAUGUCAAACAGACUCUUGAAAAGUGUGAGUUGGCAGUCUACUUCCAAUUCUUAGUUGGAGAUGUUAUUUACGAAUAUAAUAUUUUCUCUCAAAUACUCAGGCUUCAUUCCUUGCAUCUGGAAGGCAUCUAGUGUAUUGUCUGUGAGAACCUAUGAUAGUGUCUUCAUAGGUGUGUCCAGAAUCGAGACAUACCUUUAAGUAGAGAUAAUUUUGACAAGAUACUUCUGUUGAAAUGUAUUGAUAUAUUAGUAGAAUCGGUACACUUGUCCAAUGUAAGGUUAGUUAUCCCAACUAAAAAUUGAAACUAUGAAUUCAGCAUUUUGCAAUGAUGCCUUGGACAAUCAUGUAGCAGAUAAAAAGAGGCUGACAAUCUAAAUCUCAAAAACUGAGAUUCAGAUAUUUCCAUACAAAGUAGUCAGUCUAUGAUAGUCUGGAAAUAAGUAAUGCUAUGUGGCUGUAGAAACACAUAUCUAAAUAGAAAUUAUUACUUUUGGUGCAUUGAAUUUUCUCUGUGGGAGACUCUUGAAAAAUAAGACAGUGGAAUAGUACAUUUUCACCAUGUCACAUUGCACUCCAUACAAAUCAUCAAUGCAGUGUGGUUCUCAUCUAGGCAGCAACAUGUUAGAUUUUGGACAAAUCUGUCAGCUGUGCCUCAUUGUUUGAACAGGUCUAUAACCUACAAAAAACAAGGUAUUAUUGGCUAACCUGUCAAUGAGAGCUGACUUGAAGCUAGACAUCAAAUUAACUUCCCUGGAAUUUGAAUUCAUAACUAUUUAGCAAUUUUUAAGCUCCCUGAAGUCUAAUAGCAAUUUCAUUGAAGUCCUUAUUAGUCAUUUACAAUUGAUAAUGAGUGGUUUGAUUUCAUUAUUAUUUGUUGCUAUUCAUCCAAGACAAUUGUCUUGUCAUUGUCUGGAUGUUAAUUGUUGAUGUUUGGUAGCAAUUUGAAUAUAAUUCUGAAGAUAAUGAAAUUUACUUUUGCCAUGCUAGAAUGCUUUAUACAUAUAAUUGUUGUUUCAAAAUUACUUUACAUUGACGAAAGAAGUAUUUCAUUUUUUAAUAUCUUGAAACCAAAUGUAAAAAAUUUGUUUUAUUUUUUGUUUAACUGUUUUGCUAUAAGUAUGACAACCAUUGAUACUUCAGUUCAAAACUAGUUUUAAAGUGUUUAUAUUUUAAAUUAAAAUCUUCCAUCGUAAUUUUAUGUAAAAAAACAACUACAAACUUUUUGUUUUAGUAAUAAUAUUAGUUGUUUUGGUAAAUCUUUUCAAAUUGUCGAUUAUUUUCAAAAUUAAUUAAAAUGCAUAAUGAAUGUAUUUUGUUAAAAAUCUAGUCAUGAAACAGUCAAACUUUUCUCUAGCUUAAUUAAUUCAGUAUGGUUAACAUGUAUGUAUUUAGGUUGAGUAUUGCCUCCUUUCUAUGUUACAAUGUUAAAAUUAGUAUAGUCCUAUUUAUGAUAGCAUUCAAUUGUGAUAAACAAUUAUUUUUCCUUUUCUGACAUAAUGAAUCCCUCCACCCUAAUUUAUAGGUGAAGGAAACAUUGAAAAUGUAUAUAUGUGUGCAUGCAUGUGUAUGAUAUAUAUAUAUAUAUAUAUAUAUAUAUAUAUAUCAGAAUAAUGGAAAAUGAAGACAAACACCCAAGAUGUUAUUUAAAUCAUUUAUAUCACCAACAUAUAUUUCAAUACAUGCAUUAAAAUAAAUCCAAGAGGAUGAAUAAUGUGGAACAAUGCAUCAUUCUCACCAGGGAGGAUAUAAACAACAGUGUUCAUCAAUAAGUCAUUUUAACAGAUGUAAGAAACUACAAUAUAUGAUAUAUACAUACAUAUAUAUAUGUAUGCAUAUAUACAUACGUAUAUGUACAUACUUACAUCUAUAUAUAUAUAUAUAUAUAUAUAUAUGCAUAUGUGGGCACAGGACGUCAUGAAACGUGUACAACGAAAAAAUACGAAGUACGAGUUUUUCAAACAAUGCAAGACUCAAAUGGAAAACAAGACAAACAACAUAAAGAAAGAUCCUUCAUUAGUUGUUGGCUGUUUUUCUACUCUCAUAUUUUGAGCAAUUACCAGCAAUAUACACUUUCGAUAAAACAGUUGUUCCUGCAAAGCAAACUAAAUAAAAUUUGGGAUUUUGCGGAGGGUCAAAAUUGGUAACUCAAACAGGACAGUGAAAACAAACACGAAGAGCUGUUAAGCCUAACUGAGGUUGUGGUGGCGAAUGCGAUAUAUAUAUAUAUAUAUAUAUAUAUAUAGAGCAAAAAAGAAAAUGGAGGGGAUACAAAAAUAACAUACAUCAGCCAGUAGACUUUCUAUUAUGUCUAUUUAUUCUAAAACAUAAGGAAGUAUUAUAAGAGUACACACACAUUCAAAGACUGUGUGCUACACAACUAUGUACUAGUAAUACAUAAAAGAGUAAAAGAUCAGUUCCUUACCACCGUUUCUGCCAAGAGGUCAUGGUAUCUUCCAUGCUACCUCCAUCUCUAUAUACAUGUAAAUACACAUGCAUGCACACACACAUACAUAUAUACAUAGAUAUAUGGAAAAGGAAGUUGGGUAGGGAACGCUAAAAAUUUUCAAAAUACCAUUAAGAAAUUUGAUGUCAUAGGACAUGAGCAGGGUGGAAGGAAAGAGAGAAAGAGAAUUAAAGAAGAAAUGGAGGUAUAAACAAAUGGAGAGUAAAUAUUAGAUGGAUAGAAAAGAUGACUGAAAGAAUAGGAGGUUUGGGAAGAAAGAAUAAAGAUUAAGUUGCAGACUAUUAGGUAAGGGGGUAGAUAUUAUUUGAAAUAGCUGAAAGAGUGUUUUUUUUCCAAUGUAAAUACCUAUAAACACAUUAUUUAGAGAUGUUGACAGUGUAUGUUUGGAAAAAAGGAUAAGUAGUUGUUCAUUUGUACAAAGAAGGCAGAAGGGUCUCCCUUUAUCAUAGGGAAAUGCUCUUGAUAAAAUUUUCCAAUCCAAAGAAAAUUGUUUAUUAGAGUCUUUGAGAUGCCAAAUUAGUUUACUAAGACCUAUAGAAUUAUAUUUAUUAAUGUAUUUAAAUGUAGAAAUGUGAUUCGCAGUACAUUCUUUUACUUCUAUAGAUGAAAGUCCAAUAUAAAAGAUUUCUUUAGAUCCUGCAGUAAUUUUACAUUGGUAAACUACGUUUGCGGAGGCACAUGGCCUAGUUGGUUAGAGCAGCAGACUUGUGGUUGAAGGAUCGCGGGUUCGAAUCUCAGACCAGGCGAUGUGUGUGUUAAGCUAGAAUGGGUAGCACUUAAAAAUCCUCAGCAUAAAAUGGAAAUCUGGGCUCUCAAAAUAUCUGGAAAUGAACUUCUGAGUAAUGGUUGAACCUGUGUUACUUGAUGUAUACAUGUAUAAAAAUAUCAUUGCAUUAAUUACUAAAUAUUGUCAUAUUUAUUUCAAAAUGUCGCCAUAUUUUUUUUACUCAAUAUUGUAUUUCACUUCCAUUAAAGGAUAAAAAUUUUAUUUUUUUAAACAUUAGUUAUUCCUCCAUUUUUCAUAUAACACAUGAUAGAAUUGGAUUAUCAGCUUACAGGAAUAUUUUGACAUCAGUGGAUAAUUAUUAUUGGUUUAGUUGUAUGGCUUUGUGCCUGAUAUUAAAUGUAAUCUAUGUGAAGAGUUACAAUGUGUGAUAAGAUAAUGAGUUGACUUGACAGAUAUGGUAGGAAGUAAGGAAGGCAAUGUAAUGAAAUGAGGAUGAAACUUGUUUGUGAUUGGAUAUGACAACACAAGUCACCCUGUCAGGUUGACGACGAAUUUAUGGUGAACUUGCAGUUGACAAAUUUGAAUCCUUUCAAAAGUAACUACUCUUUGUUCCGUUGGAACUGUCCAAGUGAUGAUCACUGAUCUUUGUUUCUAAAUAGAUGUCCUUGAUCUAUUUUAUUUUAUAAAGUUGCUUUAUGAUGCAAAACAAAUCCUGCCCUGAUAAAUGAUGUACAACACUCAAGAAAAUCUGUUAUCAAAAUGAAUCUUAGUGUCACAUUGAACAUUUAGAUUCUAUUGGAAUAAUGAAGUUAAUAGGCUAAUUAUACUUUGCAAUCAAACCUUAUAUCUUCUGUGUUUGUGUUGCUUACAUUGGAUAAGUAUAUCUAGACGGUCAUGGCUUGAUUAUCUUCGAUCGUAUGUCUGCUGAAUCUGAGUUGAUAUAAAGUUAAUCAACAACAACCAUCACAACCCAUAUUUACUCUUCAAUUUGAUGGCUCAACCAUGACAUUUUAUUACAGACUCUUCCCUGUCCAAACAUAAUACUCUUUCUCUUAACAUUUCAUAAGGGUCUGCUCUAUUAGUUAAAAAGUUCACUUUACUAGAAAGGCACACAUUCAUUUGAGAAAAUUUUACAAAACUCUGUUGGAAACGAAGUGACACAUGCACACUGAGUGUUCAGGGGUAAAAAGGGUAUCUAGUUGUGAAAACUGUAAAAGUAUGAAUUAUACUGAAUUAUUUUAGUUAAUGAAAACUUGAAAUUAAUGACUUGUUUUCUUUGUGUGUGCUGGUGUAUCAAGGCUGCAUUUCACUGAAUAAAGUGGAUAAAUUAUUACACAUGAUGCAACAGUUUGUUGUGUGGGAGCUGUUCUUCUGUAGUGGUUGUGUUGGGUUGUUGGCCGUGUGUAAAUGAUGGACAACACUCGAUGUUGUCACCAUAACAACCUCAUUCUGAAAUAAGCAUCAAAGAUUCAUCUAUUUACAAACCUCAUUAGAAGGUUCUAGAAGAUAGAAUUGUGAUCGCUUGAUGCUGAUUGGUCAGUUAAUCAGCCAGUCAUGUGAAAUCACUAUGACUAAGCUGUGAUACUUGGGUAUCACAGAAUAAAAAAGUAUCUAAAGCAGUGUGUGUUCUAAUAUAUUAUAUAAUCCCUGAAAUAUUGUGUUCUGUAAUGUUGAAUGCAUUGGGAUCAAAUAGAUAUUUAUCUUAUGCAACCUCAAUUACAUUAGUAAUAUUUGAUGUUACAUGAAGGCAAUGAUGGAAAUAAGACAGAUGUAGUGUUGCCAUCAUUUUGUACGUGGUAAGAUAUGUAAUAUAUAACAUAUCAGGCCAGUAGGUCUACAGUAGAUUUACAUUUUAAUAUAUACCAUUAAUACAUAAAAUGGUAAUAUAUGUAUGGAUUAUGUUUGUGUAAAUAUUUGCAAUAUAUACUUAAAAUUUAUGUACAUUGGUUUGAUAUAUAUAAGUGUUUGAUAUCACUGUUAUUAUCAUCAACAGUAGCACUAUGUUAUCUUGUGAUGUUGAUAUAAACUAAAUGAGAUUACUGUUGUGGCCUAGAGUGUUAUUCAUUGAAAAUUGUCAAAACAAAAUAGCUUUGGGGAGAGACUGAAAUGAAUUUGCAUCAAAUUUACCCAGAUGUAAUUUGGUGUGUAAAGUUUGAUCUUCUGUUUGAAACCAAAUUCAUGAUUUAGAUUAUUAUUCAUUCUGUUGAAAGAGAAUAUUUUUUUCUUAUCUCAGCACUAUAAGCUAUCAAUCUAAUUAGAGUUUAAUCUAAUCAGAAUUUUUCCCUUUGAUUUAUUUGGAAAUUCAUACAGUUUUGAAAUAUGAGUUCUUUCUUGGAAAUAUAGCAUCACAAACAGCUCGCAAAAUUAAUGGUGUAUUUCAUUCUAAUGUUAUUACACAGCAGACAGUAUCAAAUUGAUUUUCAAAAUUUCGUUCCGGUAACUUUGACCUCAAAAAUGAGCAACAUGGUUGACCAAAAACAAAGGUGGAUAAUGAUGAACUGAAAGCUACCAUUGAGUCAAAUCCAUCUCAAAGUGCCUGUGAAUUAUCGUUGUUGUUUGGUGUUAGCAAGCAAACAAUAUAGACUCACCUAGUUCCAUUUGGUAAAGUGAAAAAGUUGGAUGAGUGGGUUCCACAUGAACUCAAUGAAAAUCAGAAGCAGCAACGUUUGGAAGCCUGCAUUAUGCUACUUUCUCCUCACAAAAAUGAAUAAUUUCUGAAGCGAAUUGUAAUGUGUGAUAAGAAAUGGCUCCAAUACAACAAAUGUAAAUGUUCAGAACAAUGGUUGGACAAAGACAAGCCACCAAAACACAGUCCAAAAAGCAAAAUUCGCCAAAAGAAGCUGAUGGUGUGUGUUUGGUGGUCUCGCACAGUUGUGAGCCAUUAUGACAUCAUUAAACCUUGUUCAUCAAUCACGGCUGAAGUAUACUGUAGCCAACUGGAUCAAAUGAUGUGGAAACUUACAAAAAUUCAUUCGAAAUAAGAUGUAUGUAGAUUGCUAUUUUCUGAUAUCAAAAGUUAAUUGCAUUGAUCUGAUAUUAACCAUUUGAGAAGUAUUAGGAGAAUUUACAGGAAAAUGCCAAUUUCAUUUUUAUUUAUUAAAUUUAUUUAUUAUUAUAAUAAAGAGUCAUUGAAUUCUGAAAGUAGAAGGUUAACAGCUGAAUUAUUGUUAGAAAUUAGUGAAAUGAAAACUGGGUACUGAUAAUCCUGUAUAUAUUAUCUGAAGUGUAUAUAUAUUUAGAAAGAUGGAGACAAUCUGUUAUGUCAUCUAACAGAGAACUAUCCAGUAAACUAGAGAUAUACAAUCUAGUUUGUCAUUAAACAUGUGUGUAAUAUUAUGUACUGUUUGAGUGCCAUUAGAUAUUAAAUAGAAAAUGUUCUUGAUUUGUAAAGAAUUUAGUGUAAAAGUUUAGCAUUUUUAUACAGUUUGUGUUAUAUGUAACUUGGAAUUUAUUAGGACUUGUUUCAUAAACUUUUUACAAAAUUUACUGAGCUAAUUAUUUUUUUAUUUGAAAAUGUAAAAUAAUUUUUCCUUCUCUGAUUUUAUUUUUUGGUUUGAUUAUAUCUGCUCUUGAAAAUUGUAGGAGUCUGAGAUUAGUUGUUUGGCCUACAAGUUCAUCUAUGUUCAAAGUACAAAGAGUCUUUUAGAUUUUUGUUGCUUAGAAACUUUUGGAUUAGGAUGUUCCAUCAUUGACCUGACUAUAAGUCGCAGCGACUUUUUUGAUGUUGGAGAGCAAAGUUCGAUUAGGAAUCGCGCCGACAUAGUUGUUGUUCGGUAACCGAGCUUUCAGUAAGCUGAAGAUGACUUACAAUGACUGUUAUCCCAUUAUGUCCAUGCAUUUUAGAAACCGUUGUUUGUAAUGUAAAAUUUUAUCCUUUUCGGUUAUCCCAAGUGUCGGAACUUCAGAUGUGACUUCUGCCUAGAAAAUAUCCGAAGAUUUUUUUUAUGGGAUGCGCUUAUAAGUCGCACCCGCCAACUUUAGGUGAAAAUUUCAAGAAAAAAGUGUGACGGUUGUCAAUUUUAGCAAAACAAUCUAAGGGCGAUAACUCUAAUUGUAGUUCUCUCCCUUGAAAUGUAUUAUUUAAAUGUAAGCUGAUUUGACUGCAAAAGCAACAAGUUGAGAUGUGUAAGUACUCACAGAUCAAGUCAUAUCAGAUGUGGGGGCGUUCGCCGUUGUAGCGAAAUAAUCAAUGAAAUAAGUAGCAGACUAGGGUUGAUUUGUUUGAUAAAGCUUUUCAAGGCAGUAUCCCCAGCAUGGCAGUGUUAUUUCCAGAUCCCUUUCAGUUAUCUACUUUGCUAAUUUUACCCAGAAAGAAAUGAAAUAGAAUUUUUAAAAAGGCCAAAAAUAUUUGUUUCAAUUUGAUAUUUAUUUAAUUACUUAAAUGAGAUAUAGGCAAUAAUUUCCUUUUUCAUUUUACAACAGCUGUCUUUUACCAAGAACUUUUUUGUUGCCGUCAUUUCUUUGAAUUUCAUUUUGUUGGUUUAUACUUAGGAAAACUGAUGCAUGUUCAGUUAGUUAUAAAUUAUGCAUAAAAAAUCUUGUUGGUAAAUAUAAAAUUCACUGAUAAACUAAAAGACCUGAGUUUCUUUUAUAUGUUUAGCUUGGUUUUUCUCAACCCAUUUUAUAUUUUUGUUAAGUCAAAAAUUGUUAGAUUUAUGCUGCAGAGUAUUUUUUCAGUGUUUUGAAAAUCAAAUUUUAUUGUCUUUUACCUUAGAAAUUAUGUUUUGAGAUUGAAAUAUUUUCUAUAAAAAUAUUGUUUCAAAUCUAUUUGCCUUUCCUAUUUUACUGCAUUAAUUGAGAAAAUGAGGAAAAUGUUAUCGAAGUUUUGUUAAUUUUUGUUGUGACUUUCUUUAUGGCCAAAGUGAAAAUAAUCUCUGAGAAAAUAUGUAGAAACUAUAAAGGAAAUGCUAGAAUAUAUUUUCAUUGAUUACCCCCCUCCCAUGAAAUCAUUUUUGGAUGGUGGAAUAUACACCACCAUCUGGAUCCUUUUUCUUUACCAUGGUUCUUUCAUAAUGUUCAAGCUCGCUAAUGAAUUGGAAGCCAUUCAAUGGAUCUACACUAAGAAUAUGGCUUCACUGUUCCAUAUGAAUUGCAAGGCAGGUUGAAAGUUUUAAAACUUUAUUCUCUCAAGGAAACAGACACCCACAAUACUGCUUUACAUAGAAAAAUUGGAAUGAUUGUUAUGUAAUUCAGCAUUGCCAGUUGUUUCCACUCUACCACUGAUUACUACUGUGAAGUGCCAAAGGUUCUGCUCUCUGUCCAUAAACUACAUACUGCAAUUUACAUACACACGUAUAUGCCUGCACCGGUGCACACACGCACGCAUACACACACACACACACCUUAAAAUUAAUUGCUAUUUUGCGAUGGACAAGUAAAUAUUUUUGGGUUACUGUGAAGUGUUAUGAAACUUAGUAUGUUAUGAAACUUAGUACGUUAUGAAACUUAGUACAUUUAAAUAUGAGAUCUCCCAGCUGCAUUUUAAAAAUAUUUUCACUGGUUUUAGUAAUAUUCAAUUUAUUCAUAAAGGCAGUGAUGGCUAUGCAACUGGGCUAGAGACAGUAACAGUUGAUUAAAGACUAACAAAGAGGUCAAGAAUGUAAGUGUAUCGUGAGUGAUACAAUAAAACUAACUGUUCAGGAAGAUGCGUAUGUGUGUGUAUAUUGUAUAUUAAAGAUUACUUGUAACCCUUCCCAAAUGGUUCUGCAGUUUGUACAGAAUAUUCCUGAAAUUGCUAUCAAAUGGUAAUUUAUUCUUGAAUUUGAGUAAGGAAGCUCCUGUAUAGAUUGUUCCAUUCCCUCAAGAAGUUAAUAGCAUCCACAAUUUUAUUCUCUGCCACCAUUUUUAUUCUUUGUGGCCAUCAUGUUAAUGUUUUGCUGUUUGAAACCAGUUUUGUUAGCAGAUUUUUCCAUGAUAGAAAGAGGGGAAACUAAAAGGAGGUUGGUUUCCAUUGACCGGCAAUGUGUUAAGAUCUAGUAGGAAAGAACUGGAUUUGAGAUUUUCUCUUUGAUUCAGCCCUCUUACAUUCUUUAUAGGAGAGCAUGGAACAGCAGGAAAAAUAAAAAGAUGAUGAUAAUGAUGAUUUCCAGUGGAAAAAAGUUCAAUAUUUUACAAUGUAAAAUAUAUAAAUAAAAGCUAAUGGCAAUAGAGAAGACUAGGUGGAACAUUUUAAAACAAAAUUGGGAAAAUUGAGAGGAUUGACACUCUAAAAUAUCUACAAAACAAUUCUUUAUCAUCGUUGUCCUUGCCAUCUUGACUGAGACGUGUUUUACCCAGCUGCACUUGAAAUCUCUAACUCCAUUAGCUCUGUUGUUGGUCUUUGUCAAUAAAAUUAAUGUAGUUAAGUGGUCUUCAUCUUCUGUUAGGAUAUAAACAUCUUUAAAAUAUAAAAUUAGAUAUGGCUUGGUCUGUGGUACAAUAGCAGUGGCUAGUAAAGCCAACUCUGCAUUGAGCAAUAAUACUAGAGAUGGUUGGAAUAUGUCCAUAAAUCUUCUCUUUUGUUUUGUGCUCUUGUCAGAUGUUUUAUGUUUUUAUGAGAAUCUUGAUGUAUGUACCAUGAAGGUGGUCUUGAAGUUCUUCUUCCACAGUCCAUAUUUCAGCUCUAUAAAGGAUGCUCCUUAUACAUACUCUGAAGAAGGCCAGCUUUGUUGACUUUGAAAUACUAAGUGUAGGUUCAGUCCACUGUACAACAAAUUAGGCAAAUAAGUGUUUUCCACUGAGAUUCUGGGUUUAUCAUGCCCUGUGAAUUAAUUUGAGCAGUGCAAGGUGUGUGGAAGCCGUGUGUGUGGUUUGUGCUUGAAUGUCAUUGUCUGAGGGAAAUGGUGAUAUGAUGUUUACAUCUGUUGACAUUGUCACCAGUUGCUCUGCUUUUGAAAUCUUGUGGAAUUAAAUAUCUCCCUUUUGAAAAACUGGUAAGGGUUGGUGGCAGCAAGAAUAUCUGACUAUAAAAUCUUGCAUCAGACAAAUCUUCAUCCAACCAUGGAAAAAUGGAUAUUAAAUGAAUGUCUGACUGAACUCACACGCACAUGCGUGUGAAGUGUGCACUGCUAAAUUUCUUGAACUACACACUCUACUAGCCAAUUGAUACUGCUACAUCUUCUAGUAAAUAGUUAUAUUUAUAAUGAUAUGUAAUAUAAAUAUAAAGCUACAGAUUUUUGUGGAGGGCACCUUUGGUUAAGUCAACCUUGAUAUUUGAUAGAUAUUCUAUCCCCUGUACAAGAAGAGUGUAAAAGCAUUUGACUGUGAUAGGAGUGGAACUUUAUUUUAUAGAGACAUUAAUGUCACAAGGCAUUUUGUUUGGCACUCUACUGAUUCUGCCACUCAGUGGACUAUAAAUAAUAACAACCACACACAGAUUCAUAACUAGUCAGUAAGGAACUGGUAUAGCUAUUUUUGAGACACUUAAGUAUUAUUAGAUGAACCAACAUGUUUCUGUAGGUCUCCCCACCCCUCUCCUUUUUUGAAAGAGUUUCUCUGGUUCUCUAUAAACUGAGUAGAUUGAUGGCCUGAUUUGAGGUUUUCUAAAUCUUUGAAGCAAUUAAAAACAUUCAUAUCAGUCAGCUAGUUACAAAAACAAACAAACAGAAAAAAAGACCUAACAAUAUGUGUAUGUGUGUAUAUAUAUAUGUUUAUGAAUUUGUGUUGCAAGAUUCCGGAUGUGAAACCGUGUGUUGAAACAGAUAUUGUUGUAUUUCGGGAUGGUCAUUUUUUCUUCUUCAAAUAAAUGCAUGCACUAUAUAUUUCUUCUUCACUCGUUUAUUACUGUUCUUAUUCUAACUCAUGUCCACCGUCCAGAAAUCUUUUGUCACACAUCUGUGACCUCUUCAGUGACACUUUCCAUCCUCGUGUGUGCUCCUGCUUUGCUUAGUUCAGUCAAUUCUUUUAUUACGUGUAUCGUUAUAUGUGCAUGCGUUUGCGUUUGUGUAUAUAUGUGUAUGUAUGUGUACAUAUGCAUGUCUAUGUGUUUCGCAUGUGUGCUUAUGUGUAUAUUUGGGCUUAAGCCCUUUAUAUUGUUGUCAUUCUUAAAGAAACAUAUCAUCAUUGUUCUUAGUAGCUCUAUGACCCUCCCCUCACCCACAUCUCCUCUCCUGUUGCUGCUGCUAUUGCCCUUGACCCUGACUUUUGGUACCAUUCCUGUAUCUCCCUACAUUUGUUUGUUCACCUACGUUAUUGCCAUCGUGGUAGUUGUUAUUUCUAUUGUCAUUGUUAUUGGUCAUGCUGUUGAUGUUGUUGCGGCUGUUUGUGAAGUUUAUGUAUGCUUGUGUGUGUAUAUGGGUUCACUUAUUAUUUUUGUAUCUGUGCCUUUUAUACAACUUUUUUUGUUUACCUAUUUAUCUACCUUAUAUUUGUCAUAGGUAUAUGCAUAUUUGUCUAUUGUGUGUGUAUUACUCUGUAUGUUUUUUUGUUUUCUCCCUUUUGUCUUUCGUUGUCAUGGUGUGGUGGUGAGUAUUAUUGUUCCAUUCAUGUUUUCUGUUGAGGCCCAGUCUAUCUAUUGCUAUGUGUGUAGCCUCUAUAAUCUAUUUGAGUGUCAUAUCAGUUCUAUAUGGGAGGCUUGGUUAAUAACAUAGAGGUUAAGGUGUUACCAACACAUAGAACUGACAUGACACUCAGGCAGGUUACAGAGGCGACACACAUAGGAAUAGACAGGCGGAGCCUCAACAGAAAACAUGAAUGGAACAAUAACACCUACCACCACCACACUAUGCAACAUGCCGACUAAAGACAGAAGGGAGAAAAGAACAAACAAAAACAUACAAACUGUGUAAUACACACACAAUAGACAAAUAUGCAUACACCUAUGAUAGAUAUAAGAAAUAGAGAUAAAUAGGUGAAAAAAAAAACUAUAAAGGGCACGGAUAAAAACUACAUAAUAAGCAAGUCCAUAUACACACACAAACACAGAAACAGCUCAUCAACAACUCGACUAAUGGCAACAACAACAACUACCAAGAUGGCAGCAGCGUGGGCAAACACACAAACACAGGGAGAUACAGGAAUGGUACCAAAAGUUGAGGCCAAGGGCAGCAGCGGGGGAAGGGACAUGGGUGAGGGGAGGAUCAUAGAGCUACUAAGAACAAUGACGAUAAUGAUGAUAAUAUAAAGGGCUUAAGCUCAUAUAUACACACAAGCGCACAUGCAAAACACAGACAUAAGUACACACUUGCGCAUGCACACACACAUAAAUACAGAUGCAAAUGCAUGCGCAUAUAAGGAUACACAUCAUAGAAGAACAGAAUGCACUAGGCAGAGCAGGAGCACACAUGGGGAUGGGAAGUGUCACUGAAGAGAUCACAGAUGUAUGACAAAAGAUUUCUGGACAAAGGACAUGAGUUAAAAUAAGAACAGUAAUUAAUAAGUGAAGAACAAAUAUAUAGCGUGUGUGUUUAUUUGGCAAAAAAAGAAAAAAAUGACCAUCCUGAAAUACAACAAAUAUAUAUAUAUAUAAACACACACACAGUUAAAAAAAAACAAAGAAAAAGACAAGGAAAAACACAGCAACAUGAGGACGUAGCACAUGCAAAUUCUUAAUAAGAUGCUCAGAGAAGGAAAAGAGUGGUUGUUUUACAUUCCAAGCAUAGCUCUUCUUUGGAAAUAGGAAACAUAGGAAAGGAAGAAGGAGGGAAAAAAAUCGCCAACAGUCCAUGUAUCGACUAUAUUAUGUUAUAUUAUAUAAAGGUGAAGCUGUUUCCUUUUUUGAAAUGUGUUCUGGUAAAUUCAGUUGGUAGAAGCAGUUAUAUGUUGGCUGUGUCAGUUUGGAAAUAAUGUCCUAGUAUUUGUAUAAAUUGUAUUGAUUUGAUUUUAAGAGAAUCAGCAGUUGAUAGAAUGUGUGGAAGCCUUUCUUGACUGGAAACCUGAAAUGAUUAUGUGAGAUUAAAGCAUAUGGAUUAAGAUUCAGUUGAGAAUAUUGCAAGUGAACAAUAAGAUAGCUUGUAUGCUUACAUUUUGAAUGUUUCUGGAUUACAUAUUGGAUGUUAUUAUUAUUUGCAGUAGUUAGCAGAAGCCCAGAUUGUCUUUCAUGCUCUGGUUCAAUAAAUUAUUAUUGUGGGAAAUUAUUUGGUCACUGUGCACCAUCAACUGACUUAUGUCUUAUGUUUGUAUUUCAUUUCCUGAAACACAUAACACUGCUGUUAACACCUCAUAUCUGAAGCUCCAUAGAUAAAGCCACCUUUUGUUAAGCUUUAAGCUAGCGGCAAUGUCAAAUAUUUUACUUUCUCUUGACAACUACCAUCCUUCAUUGAUAUUGUUGUUCACAGAAUUCUCAAAAUGUUGACAGUUAUUUAUUAACAGGGACAAAAUGUCCCUCUUUAUUAGCAUGUAGGCCUGCUGAUAAUGUCUUUUAUGGGUUUGGAUAGUCUCUGUUUCAAAUACAGAAAGGCAAAUUCAGCAGUGUGUGUGUCUACACUACCUCUAUGCCAUCUAACAUCUGUUUUACCAUACUUGCAUAGAUUAGAUAGAUCUGCUUUUGUACAUCUGUUAUUGUAUCAAUAAAGAUCUAGUAGUUGCAGUGUCUAUGUGUAUGCAGAAUUUUUCAAUGUGUGAAUAACUUUUGUGAUUUGAAUGAUUGUUAGAAAGUAGACAGAAUCAUAGCAGAGCUAUAGAUCUGUGACCUGACAUUAAUUCAUGUUUGGAAUGGAUUCAUUCCACUUCAAUAUUUGGUCUCAAUACCAUAAACUCUCUUGCUUUCUCUACCCAAAUUUCCUGCCUCUCUCUAUUCACCAUUCUUAUUUCUCCUAUUUUCUCUUCACUUAUCUUUUCUUAUAUACUUUUUUUUUAAUCUUGCAAGAGUUAACUUGAAUCUAUAGAUUUAAAUGAGUAUUUAAAUAAGUAUGUUUCUACAUUUCAUUGAUAAGAUUAGAUUCCCAACCUUAUUCUCUGUUUUUAUCUGUACAAUCUUCUCUUGUUUUCUUGUAUAUAAGUUUACAUCUCUUGAGAAUUUAGCUCUGAAAUCUUUAAUUCUCUAUUUUAUAUUUAGCUAAGUGACAUACUAAUUAAUUAAGAAAAUAAUUAAUUCAUUGAAAAAUAUGAAUAAAACUCAUCUUUAAAUGGAAUUAAUUACUUUAAUUCAUUAUUAUUAUUGUUAUUCUGGAAGACUCAUGGAUAGUUCUUAAUUACCAGUUAUUUGAUGUAAUUGUCUUACUCCCUUUUCUAAACUUGCUGGCUUUGUGCCAAAAUUUGAAACCUGUAUAUUAGUGGUAUUUAUUUUGUAGGGUUCAGUAGGUUGAAUCAGGAAAAAGGUCCAUUAUAAACUGAAAAUGGAUGCAGUUUCUUCUUUACUUUACAGAUGAGUAUUUAAGAAAUGGAAAUGUAUUUUUGUACUUGAUUCAUAACAUUUGUAAAUUUGCAGAACCAACCAACCAACCAACCAGCCCAUGUCAUACUUUUAUGUCUUUAAUUUACAUAAAGCUUGAGAAAUUUUAAAGAGAUGUAAAAGAUGUGUGUUGCUGUUCAUGCCUUUUCCAAAGAUAUGAGUAGCAUACAUGAAAUGUAAAGGUUCCAACUCAGAAUCAGUAUUGGAUAAUUUUUUUCUUUUUCAUAAAUGAACGAGUGGUGGGGUACGGUAUUUUUGUUUUUUGUUCUCUCAGAUUAGUGGCAUUGAUAUAACUUGUGGGUGGGAGAGGGCAAAUGGUAGGUCCGUGUGUAUGUCAUUUUAGGGUGUGGGGCUGAAAAAGUGAGGGAAAUGGGAGUAGGAUGGCAGAUUAAACUAAGCACCACAGUUCUGAAUGUUCUUGUGACACCUAUAUAAAGAAUUUUUACCCAAAGAUUGAAAUCUUGCUCUUUUUUAUUUUUUACCUGUCUUCCAUUUCUUGUUGGUUUUACUUUUAAGAAUUUCAUUGUUCUUUGUUAAGUUGCCUACUUUAACUUGCUACUGGAUCAUUUUGUAAACUUCUUUUUACUUUUAUUUGUCCCUUUAAGUGACUACAACCAACACCUCUCUCCUCUCUUGAUGCCAAUUGUUUAUUUUUUUUAAAACAUAUUUCUGCCUUUUUUGUUUUCUUUUCUAACUUUUCUUUUUUCGUCUUGUUUCUUUUUUUCUUGCUACUUUAUCAAUUUUUUUUUAUUCUUUCAUUUUUCCUUGUUUCUUUUUGUUAUUCCUUCUUGUGUUUUUGUGUGUGUCUCAGUUUUUCUAAAACUACUCACCAGGUAGUUGACCAUAUCUGCUACAUUACUGGGAAUUAUAUUACUUUUGUGUGUUUCCUGCAUUUCUCAAAGUGUCUUUCAAAUGAACUCUGUCCCUAUCCACACCCCUAUUUGUGAAAAAAUGAAAAGAACCCUCUUUCAUAGACAAAAAUCAAAUUUAUUAUUAGAUAGGGCAUGACUUAUUUCCCCUUCUUGGUACUAAUUACAUGCACAGCAUAUCAAGAAAAAUUCCUCAGGUAGGAAUUAUUCUUGUGAAUCUAUUUUUGCUCCACAGCUGAUGGUGAUUCUCUCCAAUCUGUAGCAAGCCUAAAAAAACAUCUGCCAUAUUGUUUCUAUUAUUUUUACAUUUAAAAAAAUGUUUCUUACAUAUGAUUUUUAGCUGUACACAUUAUAUAGGUUGGAUAGUUUUACAAAUUUAGAUGUUUCUCUGCAUUUAUUGCAGCAGAUGUUUCAUGGAUGAAUGCUGUUUUCAUCAAUGAACCACUUCAGCCAGCUAAGAGGCUACCAGCUUUAUUUCCCUUUUAACACAUUUCUUUCUUUAUCAAAUUCUCCUAUAUAUCUUAAUCAUACUUUAAACAAACCACAUGGUGAUAUUACUGUCUUAUUUAUUAUUUAUUUUCUUUAUUUAUCAUUAGCCUAUAAACUUUUAUAUAUAUUGUAGAAAUACUAUUAAUACACUUUCUUCAUUUGCUAUAUUUACUGCUUCAAACUCUCUACAGUAACUUUAAAUCCAUUGAAAUCCUUAGAAACCAAUGUACCAACAGGUAAAUUUUUUCUAAAUACUCCUGUAAUCUGUCAUUCAAGAAUGAGCUGGCAAAUUUAAUGUAUUUCAUUACAUAUUUAUUUCACUUUUCUCAGAAUCAUAAAGUUAAUGAUCUUACCUGAUUGGUUAAUAUAUUAUUGCCACUAACAGUGAAGUUAAUUUCAUGAUCUUCCUCUCCACACCACUAAUGAUUUUUUAGACUGAUAAUCUCAUCUAAUUCAUCAUGACUCAUAUUGCUAUACUAUAACAUCUAAUAGACCAUUUCUUACAUGCAAAUACUGCCAUACACAUUUAUUCUUCCAAAGAAUAAAUAUCACCAUUAUACCCACCACAUCACUGCUGUCACUCUUGUUCUUGUGUCCAUUUUCCUGUGCUUGCAAGGUUAGACUAAAUUUGUUGAGAUAGACUUUCUAUGGUUGGAUGCUUGUUUUAUUGUCAACCUUCACUUGUUUUUGAGUCAGGUAAUAUUUCCCCCUGGUCCUUUCAAACAAUGACUGGCUCAAAGGCCAGACGUCAUUUGUAUGACUGGUGGUUUCGUUUUCAAUAUGUGUGCAACUGCGAAGAGAGAUAACACACACGCCCACCCCCACAAUGUCCUUCAUACAAUUUCUGUCUGUCAAAUUUCACUCACAGGACCCUAGCCUGUAGAUACAGUAGAAGACAUCAGCUGACUAUGUUCACACACAUUGGGAAUAAACCUCCAAGCACAUUUUCUGAAGUGAACUUUUUAACUACUCACUCGCUCUCUCUCUCUUUCUCUCUCUCUCUCAUUCUCUCUCUCUCUCUCACGCGUGCGCGCACGCUCAUGUUCUGCAUAAUUUCUGUCUACUAAAUUUUACAAGGCAUUGGUCAUGUAGUAAAAACUGUUUUGUUUGGCGGCUUAUAGGUAAUGAAAACUAAACUAAUUUAAAACAAGUUCUCUCAUUGGUUGAAAAUCUUUCAGCCAAAAUCAUUCUAGGUUUUUGCCAGAAUUCUUCUAAAUGAUAUUUCGGAACGCUUCAAGAAACUUCCAUGGGAAGUUAUAAAAGCCAGGAUUUUUUCCCAAUUUUAGUUAGCAGAUAGCAUGCCUUCUGGAAGCUAUGCCACUCUCAAACUCAUAUACAACACUCUUUACAGUUUGACGUUCUUGCACUAAUGAUAUAAGAGAUUAUACUUCUCAAUAAUGACCUUAAGUCAUAAACCUAACUCUUUCUGUAGUGUAGUUCCGAUGGACUAGAUUAGUAAUUCCUGUCACUUCUUGACAGAUAAACUUUCAGACAAAAAACAACAAAAAAAAUACUAGAAAAUAACAUUCUUAUACGAUAUGUUAGCAGUUUCGUUUCAUUGACAAAGGGAGAUUACUCCCGAUGUAUUUAUAUGUAAUUUAUAUGUAUAUCCGUGAAAUAAAAAGAUUCGACUGAAACUAUCUUUGUAAUUGAUCUUUUCUACACUUUUCCACAAAAAUGUAUUUGACUAUUCUUGUCAUUCUACCAACAGCAAGUUGCAAAAAGAAAUGGGUUUAACUGGAAGACACAUACACAUCACACACAACAUAUUUAGUCAACUCAAUUAUAUUAUAUCCGAUGGAUACAUCAAACCACUGAAUCUAUACGAAGACAAAAAAUAGAAGUCAAACUAAAGCAUAAGUCAAUCUGAUAUGAUGGUAAAAAGCACUUGCCCAAAGUGCUGCAUUCCGGGAUUGAACCCAGAGCUGUGUAGUUUCAAAGUGAAUUUCUUAACUUCACAGCCAUUAAAAACUACACCCAUUAAAAACUAAUAUUUUGUACAGUCUGUGUUAUUUGUAGUUUAUAUGAUUGAGCAAUGUUAUUUAGAUAGAUCUUUGUUUAAACUCACCCCACCAACCCAUAAUUGUUACUCUAUGAAAUGUAGUACCGAGUGGAUAGUUCUGAAAAUUGAAAUCCCUUCCAUUUUCAGUGAAUUUGCUAAAGAUAAUUAUAACAAUGGAUCUUGUCAUGGUACAACUACAUCACUUAUGACCACCACUCCUGCCUUAACCCUACUACAAUGUUAAAUUGUACUUGAGAAGCUCAAGUGUGCUUUUCAGAAAUAUAUACCAGUUGUGUGCAAAAUUAAUAAUAAUAAUAAUAAUAAUAAUAAUAAUAAUACAGUAUUAGUUCAUUUCCAGUAUGGAAACACUUAAGAAAUUUGCUCUUUGCUGUUAUUGUCAUAUAUUUUGGUUACUUACUUCAAAUAUCUGUCUUAGAUUCCAUUAUUAAACUCUUCCUGUGUUAGUUUUUUGACACCAACAGUAAUUUAGCUACAUCAUGAUGUUUUAUUUUUAAUGUAAAUUUUGCACAUUGAAAUUGAUAAAGCUUUUAAGCGGUGUUGUCUCGCCACCACCACUUUCCUGCUUUUAAACUGAUGUCAAACCUCAAACAGGAUCUUCUUUUAUUGACACUGUAGUUCUAGUUUGAAUAUGAUACGAGCUAAAUCUGGCAGAUCACUUAAAAACUGAAACUAAGUUUGAUUGCAUUACUUUUGCAGAUGCUAGUUAGUGAUUGUUGUUGCUAGUGUGGUGACGUAUAUUAAUUGCUGUGCAGCUUUUUCUUACUCUGUGGCUGAUGGUAACACUCAGAACAAUGUAAUAAUUUUUUUUAUUGUUAAUGAGUUGAUUCUAUCUCUUAUUCACAGGGAGCUUACUAAACUGAACCCUUCAAAUUGUAAAUCAUUGUUAUCAAUGAAUUAACACUUUCAAAACUAUAAUAUGCAGCAGUAAUGAAAAGGAUAUCAAACUAUAAAUCCUCUUGAUAAGUGACAAGUGAUAUUUGAAGUCAGUUUGCCCCCCCCCCCCUCUCACGCACACAUACACACUCACUCACUCUCCCCUCUCUCUCCUCCCCUCUCCCCCCUCUCUCCCUCUCCCCCUCUCCCUGAAACUGAGUUUUUGGCAGGUGUUGCUAAGCUGCUUGCAGUUGAACAGCUUUUCUUCAACAGUUUGAAAAAAAUAAAUCUUUAUCUCUGAUAAUUGAUAUUUCAACACUGUUGUUAAAUGUCAUUUAAAAAAUGUUGUUGCUUUUAAGAUGUGAAACCUCUUUAUGCUAAUAGAAGAAUUUAUGUUUGAAAUGAAAAUGCCUCAUUGCAAACUAAAAUAUUUUUGAAUUCUGCUAUAUUUUUUAUUAUCACUGAAUGAAUUUAGUCCAAGGUGACCUGGCAUAAAUUCUCUAUGAUAUUAAUAUGGUUCUUAUUUAUAAAAAUUAAAGAGCUGUAUUGCUUUGAAACCAGAAAAGCAUUUGAAUUAAACAAUAUAUCUGUUUGUAAUUAUAAAUAAGAAACACAAUUAGAUAUUGAGCUAUUUCUACAUAAAGAUUGCUGUAGCAUAUCAUAGCAUAUCACUCUGUGGAGAUUAUUACAACAGCAAUAUUCCUGUUCUGCUUGAAAUGAAUAGCAAAACCUUAAUAAUUCUAAUUUGAAUAUAUUUUGGAGGUUUGUUUUCAAAGGCUUUGACACAGCUGUUAUCCCAUCUCAAUCAUAUUACACAACUAACUCUUAUUUACCAUGAUGUCUACUUCCUGACUUCAUUUUAAAAUUUAUACCAUAGUAUUUUAAUUAUAUUUUAGGUGAAUUUUGACAUACUUAUGUAUGCUCUCUAAUAAUUUUCUACUUAUUUCAAACAGAAAACAUUCUUCAAGCAUGGGCGCCCUUAAGUAUGAACAUGACAAAAAAGGAUCUUCGCUUUCUUUUCUUGCAUGAGUUCAAGCUUGGGCACAAUGCUUCCCAAACUGCUGCUAAUAUCAACAGAGCAUGGGGAGAGGGGUCCACAAGUGAUUGCAUAGUACAAAAGUGGUUUCAGAAAUUCUGUAGUGGUGAUGAGAGUCUUGAUGAGGAAGAAGGUAGAAGACAGUCAUGCAGUCUUGACAAUGAGCAAUUGAAAGCAAUUGUUGAACAAAACUCACAUCAGAGUGUCAGAAAAAUGUCUCAGGUACUUAGUGUUGGUAUUGCAAUGGUCUCAUGCAACCUGCAGAAGAUUGGUAAGGUGAAAAAGCUCGAUAAAUGGGUACUGCAUGAGCUCAAUAAAAAUCAAAAAGUUUGGCGUUUUGAAGUGUGUUCAAUGCUCUUUCUGCAAAACAUUAAUGAUCCUUUUCUUGACUGAAUAGUCACUUGUGACAAAAGGUGGAUCCUUUAUGAUAGCCAUAAACAAUCACAUCAAUGGCUUGAUUGUGAUGAGUUCCCCAAACAUUUCCCUUAGCCAAAGUUGCAUCAUCUUUGCUUUGGGAAAUGUUUGGGGGACUCACCAUAAUCUUAUGGUGACUGUCUAAUGGUGUGCAAUUGGUGUUGUCCAUUACAGCUUUCUGGAAGCCAAUCAGAGCAUUACAGCAGAGGUUUACUGCAAUCAGCUUGCUGAAAUGCAUGCUCACUUGCAAAAAAUGAGACUUGCAUUGGUGAAUUUGCAUGGCUCAGUUCUGCUCCAUGAUAAUGCAAAGCCACAUGUUGCAAGAAUGACGCUGCAGAAACUCAAAGACAUGGGAUACAAGACUUUACCACAUCCUCCAUAUUCUCCUGAUCUUUCACCCACUGACUACCAUUUUUUAAAGCAUUUAAACACAUUUUUAAGUGAUAAAACUUUCAGGUCCAAACCAUAGGUGGAAUCAGCUUUCAAAGAUUUCUUAGCAUCAAAGCCAAUAAGUUUUUAUCACCGGGACAUAAAUAAUCUCGUUGAUCGAUGGCAGAGAUACAUAGAUGUUCACGGUUCAUACUUUGGCUAAUCAAAACAUUUCUAUUGUUAAUUUUUCCAGAAUUAAAUUAUGUUUCUGAAAUCGGCCAUUAUUUUUGGAACAACCUAAUAGUUUAAAAUCUAAACUUUAGAUGAUACAAGAUAGUGACAACUGUUUGAUGUGCACGUUUUUUUUUUUUAUUAUCACAUUACCAGUUUGUAAAAAGAAAGAAAAAACAAAAAAAGGCUAUGUUAGAAAAUGGCGAUAAAUGUGAAUUAUUAAACUGUAAAUGUUUAAACUUUUGGCAUUCUGAUUACUCUGUCAAAUGUAAGGCUUAUUUAUUCAUGCUGUUUUGAAUUAAUUGUGCAUUAUCUCAGCUUUGAGAUUUCCAUCAUGAGUUCAAGCUCAAGACAUUGUAAAGUAGGUAUGAGAGGCUGAAUCUUGCCAGUUUGAGCAUAAAACAGGUAGAAUAUUUGAGCUGGAUAUGGCUGGUUUAAAUGUUAUAAUGUUAAAUAUUUUAAAUUGGAAAUAUAUUUUAUAAUGUUAUGUUAAAUAUUUUAAAAUAGAAAUAUAUUUUAUUUUGCAGGUAUUUCUGGGAAGGAGAAGUCUUUGAUUAUUUGGUAAGUUUUGUCUUUUUCUAGUUAAAAAUAGCAAAUUUUAGUUUUUUUCACCUUAGUUUGGCCUGAAUGUUUCUAAAAACUGAAGCAGUUCUUUAUUACAGGUGUUUUUUUUUAUGUUGUACGAUCUUCCUCCUUCCUACAAUUAUUACUUUUACAUGCGACAUUAACUUUAUUAAAUGAUGAAAGAGCAGUCAAGAUUUUUAAUGUUAGACAUGAUUCACACCAAUUUGAAAUGGAGAAGCCCCUUGAUAUGAUUUGAACUUCAUAUCUCUCACUUACUGAUUGACCAUGUUACCAAUUGAACCACACAGCAAUGCCAUCUGCUUCAAUGAAGUUCUUUAAUUUGUUUCUGUUAUUUGAACUGUUCUGUUAAAUUAGCAGAAAUACCAAAUGAUAGACACAUGGUUUAAGUAUUAGCAUCAGUGAGCUUCUUUCUCUUUUCUCAAAUUGAUGUUACUAGUGUUUAAUAUCUCUGAUUUCAUCUCUUAUCUUCAUAUCUACUUUAAUCUAGCUGCACUGAUGAUCAUAUCAUAAUAUUUCUUUUACAUAACACAUUAGCAUCACUCUUCAUUAACAUUAGUGGUUUUGUUUGUUGUUUUACAUUAAAAUACAACCAGCAAUUCAUAGGACUACUUCCAUCUGCAGUUCCACAGCCUGUAGCCAUCUACGGUUGCCUCUCAAUCUGACUUUGAUUUAAUCAGAUGAUAAAACUUGUUUUUUAUUUACCAGUUCUUUUUCUUUUAUCUAUUCUACUAAAAUUAUUGGAUAUUUCAAGGUACCCAUGACUGUACUAUUUGUUGGUUCAAGCAAAGUUACCCCUUUGUAGGCCAGCGAGGUUGGAAUUACACAAAAGGCCAUUGGUGUCCCGAGAGAUCCCCUUUUAUUUUUGCUAAUUUCUGCACUAUCCAUAAAGUAAUAUUUGUUUAAUCUUGUAUAUAUCUGUGAGUGCAUAAUACAGAACUAGAAAUUUAGCACUUGAUAUGUAUAUGUUUGUAAUUAUUUGAGUUUAAUGGAGGGGAAUUAAGAUAUAAUUUAUUGACUGAAAAAAUCCUUUAUUGAAAAGUAUUAACAUUUUAAAAAUAGUUUUAUAAACUAUACAUAUAGCACUAAAUAUAAAAUAAAACAAAAUUAUUUAGUAUAUCGAUUCAUACUAGUACAAAUACGAAGAAAAUUGACUUAUAGUUCAUCGGAAUAUCUGAAAAAAUAACAGAAAAAUAAUUUCACUCUAUGAUACCUGGGUUCCAGUUGGACCCAAGAUAUCAUAUUUUAUGCUUUAGCAUCCAUAUAACUGGAAACUUUUAACUCAAAAUUUGUAUGUGUAUACAUAAGCUUUUGACAAUACAAGUCAUGAAAUAUAAAAUUAUUUAGAUAAAAAAAUGUAAAAGUUGUGUAACUUUCAAAAUUUGUUGGGGUCCCAAGGGAGCCUGCUGGUCCACAAAGGGUUCAUUCUAUGUUGGAGAAGGAAGCCCCUCUUAUUUUUUUUCUUUUGGUUCUUUUAUAUGAAUUGGUUGGAGGAAGAAGCAAUGCUUUUUGCUGUUGUAAAGGCACCAUAUUUUCUUAAUUUAUUCUAAUCUUUUACCUGGCCACUUGGCCAAACUGUUCAUGGUAUCUCCAAUAUUUACAUUAAAGAUCAAGUAAAAGCCUACAAGAUUUAGUUUCGUCACAACGUACCAAUUUGAUUUUAGCAUCAUCUAGCAAAUGGAACUAAGAUAUGCAAAAGUCCUCUGUAGUUCUGAUUUCAGUGCAUGUAUUUUGGUCAGAAAUAUAGUAAUUGAAAGGGUUAAAUGUUAAUUGUUUCUGUAUAUUUAGUUGUUUUGAAUUCAAACAAUUUCUGAAUCUAAAGAAAAUGUUCCUAUCUUUUAAAUGAUGUAAGUUUAAACACAAGAAUUUUUAUUUAGCUUAAUGCAGUUAUCACUAAUGUCACAAAACUACAUGUCACUUAAUUUUAGAAUAUUUAAAGCAUAGAUUUAGUUUUCAACAAAAUGGAAUGUGUCCCUUCCAUUUUAUAGAAAUUAGUGGAGUAUCUGAAAUUUCUUUGUCACAUCUAUGAUUUUAAAAUUUUGAUCAUGUUUGAAAGUUCUUUGCAAUUUUUAGAGCCAUAAUUAUACUUUUAAUUGAACUCCCUAGAUUUUGUUUUUCAAUACUCAUGUUGAACCAAUAGCUUACAGGUUCAAACUAUGUUUAGAGCCAAUUAUAUUGACUUUCAGCAAGUUACACAUUAUUUUGCUUAUCUCAGCACGAAUCAUUUGAAAAUGCCCCGCCCCACUUUUGUAGGUUAAAGCUGGAAGAUCAGUUGUUGAAUUAUCAGAACACUUGCUGUUUCAAUUCAUG
rnacentral:lncRNA from 1 species